rnacentral:rRNA from 1 species
AUACGUAGGUGGCGAGCGUUGUCCGGAAUUAUUGGGCGUAAAGAGCAUGUAGGCGGCUUAAUAAGUCGAGCGUGAAAAUGCGGGGCUCAACCCCGUAUGGCGCUGGAAACUGUUGGGCUUGAGUGCAGGAGAGGAAAGGGGAAUUCCCAGUGUAGCGGUGAAAUGCGUAGAUAUUGGGAGGAACACCAGUGGCAAAGACGCAUUUCAGGGCUGUGCAGGGAGUUUAAAUGCGAACUCCAGGGUAGAGGUUUCGAUUAGAGCCCCCGGUUGUCCUGGCUAUAAACGAGGGGUACUAAGUGUACGAGGUAUCGCGCCCGUCUGUGCCGUAGGUAACAUAAUUCGGGCCACCGCUGGGGAGUACGGCCUCAAGGUUGCAGCUUAAAGGAUUUGGCGGAG